rnacentral:lncRNA from 1 species
UCGGAGAAGCUGGAGUCGAGGGGAAUGCGGCCGCCGUCGGGACCUGCAAGGGAAGUCUAAAUCAAAGUUGGGGGUGCUCCGGCAAGACCCUCUGAUGCUCAAGUCAGUACUCUACUUCAACAGAAAUGGAGCACUCGAAUGGGAUUUUGGCAAAGUUUCAAGAUAGAGUUUAGAGCUUAGAGAAGAACAUAUCUGGGGGGUCUCUUUUAUAGAUGGGAGAGCAUAAUUGAUUGAUAGCGACGUCCAUAACUGCCUGGUAGUGGGCCGUUCGGGGUCACGCAGAGUUUGUUACAGAGAGUAGUGGUGUCAGUGGGCCGUUCGGGGCCAUGUGGAGUUUGUUACGGAGAGUGGAAUGGUGUCUGUUGUCGCGACUUGCAGGUCGGACGGCUGAAGCUCGGUUGGAAUGUCUGAUGGAGUGGAAUAGCUCUCUGCCUCAGCAAUCUAAGAGAAGCUCGGAUGUUUCUGAGGUUGCUGAUGGGUUAACUAUGGUUGGGUGCUAUUGGUGUUGCAGACGGAAGUCA